GCGGUAAGGCCCUUCGGGGUACACGAGCGGCGAACGGGUGAGUAACACGUGGGUGAUCUGCCUCGCACUCUGGGAUAAGCCUGGGAAACUGGGUCUAAUACCGGAUAUGACCUCGGGUUGCAUGACCUGGGGUGGAAAGAUUUAUCGGUGCGAGAUGAGCCCGCGGCCUAUCAGUUUGUUGGUGGGGUAAUGGCCUACCAAGGCGACGACGGGUAGCCGGCCUGAGAGGGCGACCGGCCACACUGGGACUGAGACACGGCCCAGACUCCUACGGGAGGCAGCAGUGGGGAAUAUUGCACAAUGGGCGGAAGCCUGAUGCAGCGACGCCGCGUGAGGGAUGACGGCCUUCGGGUUGUAAACCUCUUUCGACUCCGACGAAGCGAAAGUGACGGUAGGAGUAUAAGAAGCACCGGCCAACUACGUGCCAGCAGCCGCGGUAAUACGUAGGGUGCGAGCGUUGUCCGGAAUUACUGGGCGUAAAGAGCUUGUAGGCGGCUUGUCGCGUCGAUCGUGAAAACUCGGGGCUCAACCCCGAGCUUGCGGUCGAUACGGGCAGGCUUGAGUACUUCAGGGGAGACUGGAAUUCCUGGUGUAGCGGUGAAAUGCGCAGAUAUCAGGAGGAACACCGGUGGCGAAGGCGGGUCUCUGGGAAGUAACUGACGCUGAGAAGCGAAAGCGUGGGUAGCGAACAGGAUUAGAUACCCUGGUAGUCCACGCCGUAAACGGUGGGUACUAGGU
rnacentral:rRNA from 1 species